rnacentral:rRNA from 1 species
GUGCCAGCAGCCGCGGUAAUACGUAGGGUGCAAGCGUUAAUCGGAAUUACUGGGCGUAAAGCGUGCGCAGGCGGUUUUGUAAGACAGUGGUGAAAUCCCCGGGCUCAACCUGGGAACUGCCAUUGUGACUGCAAGGCUAGAGUGCGGCAGAGGGGGAUGGAAUUCCGCGUGUAGCAGUGAAAUGCGUAGAUAUGCGGAGGAACACCGAUGGCGAAGGCAAUCCCCUGGGCCUGCACUGACGCUCAUGCACGAAAG